AGAGUUUGAUCCUGGCUCAGAACGAACGCUGGCGGCAGGCCUAACACAUGCAAGUCGAACGAAGCCUUCGGGUUUAGUGGCGGACGGGUGAGUAACGCGUGGGAACGUGCCCUUCUCUACGGAAUAGUCCUGGGAAACUGGGUUUAAUACCGUAUACGCCCUUCGGGGGAAAGAAUUUCGGGGAAGGAUCGGCCCGCGUUGGAUUAGGUAGUUGGUGGGGUAAUGGCCCACCAAGCCGACGAUCCAUAGCUGGUUUGAGAGGAUGAUCAGCCACACUGGGACUGAGACACGGCCCAGACUCCUACGGGAGGCAGCAGUGGGGAAUCUUAGACAAUGGGGGCAACCCUGAUCUAGCCAUGCCGCGUGAGUGACGAAGGCCCUAGGGUCGUAAAGCUCUUUCGCCAGGGAUGAUAAUGACAGUACCUGGUAAAGAAACCCCGGCUAACUCCGUGCCAGCAGCCGCGGUAAUACGGAGGGGGUUAGCGUUGUUCGGAAUUACUGGGCGUAAAGCGCGCGUAGGCGGACUAUUAAGUCAGAGGUGAAAUCCCGGGGCUCAACCCCGGAACUGCCUUUGAUACUGGUAGUCUUGAGUUCGAGAGAGGUGAGUGGAAUUCCGAGUGUAAAGGUGA
rnacentral:rRNA from 1 species